rnacentral:rRNA from 1 species
UACGUAGGUGGCAAGCGUUGUCCGGAUUUACUGGGCGUAAAGGGCGUGCAGGCGGUUUGUUAAGUGCAGGGUGAAAGCUCCCGGCUCAACUGGGAGAGGUCCUUGCAUACUGGCAGACUUGAGGGAGGCAGAGGAAAGUGGAAUUCCCGGUGUAGUGGUGAUAUGCGUAGAUAUCGGGAGGAACACCUGUGGCGAAGGCGGCUUCUGGGCCGUUACCUGACGCUGAGACGCGAAAGCGUGGGGAGCGAACCGG